GUGAGAGACAGGUAGCCUAGUGGUUAGAGCAGGUAGCCUAGUGGUUAGAGCAGAUGGACUAGUGGUUAGAGCAGGUAGCCUAGUGGUUAGAGCAGGUAGCCUAGUGGUUACAGCAGGUAGCCUAGUGGUUAGAGCAGGUAGCCUAGUGGUUAGAGCAGGUAGUCUAGUGGUUAGAGCAGGUAGACUAGUGGUUAGAGACAGGUAACCUAGUGGUUAGAGCAGGUAGUCUAGUGGUUAGAGCAGGUAGCCUAGUGGUUAGAGACAGGUAGUCUAGUUGUCAGAGCAGGUAGCCUAGUGGUUAGAGACAGGUAGUCUAGUGGUUAGAGACAGGUAGCCUAGUGGUUAGAGACAGGUAGCCUUGUGGUUAGAGCAGAUAGCCUAGUGGUUAGAGACAGGUACUCUAGUGGUUAGAGCAGGUAGCCUAGUGGUUAGAGCAGGUAGCCUAGUGGUUAGAGACAGGUAGUCUAGUGGUUAGAGACAGGUAGCCUAGUGGUUAGAGACAGGUAG
ensembl:lncRNA